CUGCAUCUCAAAAAAUAUAAAUAGGCCGGGCAUUAAAAUUAACUCCACCCCAGUCAACAACCAUGAAGUAUUUUGCGCUGACAGCUUUGGCUACUACAUUAUAUUUGAUGCCUGUUUCAACAGGCUUUCAGCCACAGUUUGCCUCUGCCUCCAGAGGGACACACUGCAGCUGGACCAGGCUGCCCUGGGGGACCCCCACAGCUCUGCCAGGGCACACUGUUAUGCAGACAAUACUUCCCUACAUCCACCUGCUCCAGGGGCACUGGCCUGGCAUGACACUGAUAGCAAAAGACGUUGGACGUGGCAAAAGAUGUUGGCAUGAUAUUGAUGGGAAGAUGUUGGCAUGACAUUGAUGGGAAGAUGUUGGCAUGACAUUGAUGGGAAGAGAUGUUGACAUGACAUUGAUGGGAAGAGAUGUUGGCAUGACAUUGAUUGGAAGAGAUGUUGGCAUGACACUGAUGGGAAGAAGAUGUUGGCAUGGCAUUGAUGAGAAGAGAUGUUGGCAUGACACUGAUGGCAAAACAUGUUGGACAUCCAAGUCCAACAUCUUUUAGUUCUCUUUGGGUUCUGAUGGCAAUACAUUCAUCAUUUACAAAUUUUUACUUAUGCUACUGAUGCUGCUACUUAUACGGUGGCCCACGUGAAGCAGGACUCCCUCACACAAAAGGCUCUAAAUCCGUUCAAGUAAAAAUCAGCAGGCACUCCUGUUAGAGCCCUCGGAGACUCCUGCACUGUGGAUGGGCUUUGGCAACCCCUCGCAGGCCCCCUGCAGUCUCUGGACCACCUAGCAUGGCCAUUAGUUGCUCAAGGUUUGAUAAUGCAAGACACCGCUUCUCUUAACAAAAUUGCUGGGCUGAGCGCGAUGGCACAUGCCUGCAGUCCCAGCUACUGGGGAAGCUGAGGUGGGAGGAUCGCUUGUGCCUGAGAGGUCGAGACUGCGGUGAGCCGUGGUCGCACCACUGCGCUAUACCCAGCUGCCCAUUUUGCUUUGGGUCAUGGCAGCAGCACCCCCACAAACUUGGUGUGGCUACCAAGGCCUUUAUAAGACGCAAAGGAACCAAACCUGAGCCCUCUGGCGUAUUCCUCCUGCAGGAGGAAAUCCUCCCAACUCCCUUGUAGGUGCUGAAGGAACUCACCUUCUCUCAGACCUCGUGGCUACCUGGAGAGCCCCUGGGAUUAGCUGAGUGAACACAGAUGGUAGGAACCACACUGCCAACCAUUGUAAGAAUGAGGAAGCUCAGUGGAUGAUGGCUGCUUUCCAUCUCUCAGUCAGAAUGUCCCCAGUGAAGGACAGGACUCAAGGGUCAACACAAUUGGCCAAACUCCAGGCAGUCACCUUAGUACUGGCUGCCUGACUGACACAGGGCCGCAUCUUCAUAUUUGUUACAAACUAUGGUGCCACUGGCUGAGUUGUCCCUUUGAGGGUCAAGGACUCUGGGACUCUUGCCUCACAGAGACCCAAACUUAAAUCAAAACCAGAGGGCUGGGCAUGGUGGCUCACACCUGUAAUCCCAGCAUUUUGGGAGGCCGAGGCGGGUGGAUCACCUAAGGU
rnacentral:lncRNA from 10 species